rnacentral:rRNA from 1 species
CAUAGGUUAAUGAGGCGAACCGGGGGAACUGAAACAUCUAAGUACCCCGAGGAAAAGAAAUCAACCGAGAUUCCCCCAGUAGCGGCGAGCGAACGGGGAGCAGCCCAGAGCCUGAAUCAGUGUGUGUGUUAGUGGAAGCGUCUGGAAAGGCGCGCGAUACAGGGUGACAGCCCCGUACACAAAAAUGCACAUACUGUGAGCUCGAUGAGUAGGGCGGGACACGUGGUAUCCUGUCUGAAUAUGGGGGGACCAUCCUCCAAGGCUAAAUACUCCUGACUGACCGAUAGUGAACCAGUACCGUGAGGGAAAGGCGAAAAGAACCCCGGCGAGGGGAGUGAAAAAGAACCUGAAACCGUGUACGUACAAGCAGUGGGAGCACGCUUAGGCGUGUGACUGCGUACCUUUUGUAUAAUGGGUCAGCGACUUAUAUUCUGUAGCAAGGUUAACCGAAUAGGGGAGCCGAAGGGAAACCGAGUCUUAACUGGGCGUUAAGUUGCAGGGUAUAGACCCGAAACCCGGUGAUCUAGCCAUGGGCAGGUUGAAGGUUGGGUAACACUAACUGGAGGACCGAACCGACUAAUGUUGAAAAAUUAGCGGAUGACUUGUGGCUGGGGGUGAAAGGCCAAUCAAACCGGGAGAUAGCUGGUUCUCCCCGAAAGCUAUUUAGGUAGCGCCUCGUGAAUUCAUCUCCGGGGGUAGAGCACUGUUUCGGCAAGGGGGUCAUCCCGACUUACCAACCCGAUGCAAACUGCGAAUACCGGAGAAUGUUAUCACGGGAGACACACGGCGGGUGCUAACGUCCGUCGUGAAGAGGGAAACAACCCAGACCGCCAGCUAAGGUCCCAAAGUCAUGGUUAAGUGGGAAACGAUGUGGGAAGGCCCAGACAGCCAGGAUGUUGGCUUAGAAGCAGCCAUCAUUUAAAGAAAGCGUAAUAGCUCACUGGUCGAGUCGGCCUGCGCGGAAGAUGUAACGGGGCUAAACCAUGCACCGAAGCUGCGGCAGCGACGCUGAUGCGUUGUU